CCCAUAAGCGGGGAUAAAACCGCUGUACGCGCUUGACCCCAGAGCUGGACAUUAGCUCUGGUAAAUGUGAGUUUGAUACUAUUUAUUUUACAUCUUUACCUAUAUUUUUCAUACUAUACCAUUGGAUGUCCGUUUUUUCCUCUUUUUAUUUUUCAUAACGAGUGAAACCACCAUAAAAAUAGAAGACCUCGCCAACCAAGGACACCUGUAAGAACAUACCAGUUGGACUUUUUCUCUCCCUUUCCUUUUAUUGGACUCUAUUAUAUGUGCGCAGCCUUUUAUUGUUUUUUAUCUUUAUCUUGUUUUAUAGGGUUUGAGGGAUUCCCUUUUAAGGUUGCUGCCACAGUUAACUAGCGCUGUCUCUUUUCUUUUAUUUAUUACUAUU